GUACACUCCUGCGGGAGGCAGCAGUGGGGAAUUUUGGACAAUGGGCGAAAGCCUGAUCCAGCCAUGCCGCGUGCAGGAUGAAGGCCUUCGGGUUGUAAACUGCUUUUGUACGGAACGAAACGGCCUUUUCUAAUAAAGAGGGCUAAUGACGGUACCGUAAGAAUAAGCACCGGCUAACUACGUGCCAGCAGCCGCGGUAAUACGUAGGGUGCAAGCGUUAAUCGGAAUUACUGGGCGUAAAGCGUGCGCAGGCGGUUAUGUAAGACAGUUGUGAAAUCCCCGGGCUCAACCUGGGAACUGCAUCUGUGACUGCAUAGCUAGAGUACGGUAGAGGGGGAUGGAAUUCCGCGUGUAGCAGUGAAAUGCGUAGAUAUGCGGAGGAACACCGAUGGCGAAGGCAAUCCCCUGGACCUGUACUGACGCUCAUGCACGAAAGCGUGGGGAGCAAACAGGAUUAGAAACCCGGGUAGUGCC
rnacentral:rRNA from 1 species